CAGAACCAGAAUAAACUGGAGAAACACACCUUACCUGGGGCAAGCAACCGCUCAGCAGACGUCAUUGAUCCUUGUUGGACGACGCUGCGGCUGAAAACAUUCUCCCACACAUCGAGGUCCGAGCAGUCAGUGAAACAAGCGUUUUGUAUAAGAGGGUCACUUUUAUUGUCACAAAAACACGACAGGAACGUACAAAAGCAGCCACCAUCCCUCGUCACUGGCCCGUUUCCCCUCAGAUUCUCUCCGUCACAAGUCUCUUCCUCGCUCUAGGUUGGUAUUUGGUGUUGUGGCACGCAAGUAUUUACUCAUUCUUCACGUUUUCACAAACAACAACAAGCAUCACUCCCACACUCAACAACAAGAAGUUGAUGUACAAUAUUUGAAGUAAUACUUUGAAUAUAUACUCUGUUUUUCUCACUGCCCUCUGGGGGGGCCAACGUCAUAGAAAAGCUUGAUGCUGUACACUGAUUGUUUCCUGUAUUAUGUGCUCCAAACACAGGUAGGACAGUAGUAUACAUACAGUAUUACAGUAGUAUACAUACAGUAUUACAGUAGUAUUCAUACAGUUAUUACAGUCAGACCUGGAGGGCCCAGCGUGCAGAGUAUCCAGGAAUGUUUACAGUACACAUGCCACACGUCAGAAUAUCGGCUAUAAAAAAUCAUAGGAUAACUAGAAUAAAAAUAAAAACAAGGAGCUUCACGUAAAAAUGUAUCUGUAUUGUGUUACUUUGUUGAGUAUAUACUGUACAGGAACAUCUAGAGGGAACAACCACACGUUCAUUGAUUAACCAUUGAUACUCAUUGGUUAAAGGCUCGGGCAGAGUAUUCUGAGGAUACUCGGCAACUAGAGGUACUACGGGAGGAAGACAGAUACGUUAUGAGUAGAGGUUCAGGCUACUCUCAGGAAUACUGCGUUCGUGGUUCGGACAAACUGACAGUUAAAAUAAACAAUGAACUGUUACCCAGGUCCGGGCGAGUUGAGAUGUACUUUAUUAAUCUGGACGAGAAAACAAGGUUUCGAUCGAAUGCACUGAUGUAUGUAACGCGAUAUUCUAUUGAUUUUACUACAAACGCACCGGAUCAAUAAAUAUAAUAAGCUUUUCUCCUGUCAUUCCUUUUUUUGUCCUUGUGUUUUCCAUCAACAUAACAUUAAUUAUAACUACCAGGAUGUAAUUGUAGACGAUCCCUAACUGCGUAAGGGUUAGCUAACAGUUUGUUGAACCAGCGACCACACCUGAGUGUGUGUUUUAUAUCGAAGUAGAGAAGGAGGGGGUGGGUGGGGGAGGGUUCUUGGGUGGUCACUACAGACAGACAGAGAGCAGGCUAGUCCUCAUGCUUCCACUGGUGUACGUUAUAUAGAGUGCAACCUCUGGCUGAAGUAUGGACGGUUCGUGGUCUAUGGUUGAAAACAUUGUAAAAACUAAACCAUGUAUACAGCACACGCCCCACGCGAAUAAUCCUCUGCUUCGUAAGUAUAAAAAUACAAAAAUGCUUGAUUUUAUAAAACAUAGAUGACAUUUAUUUUGUAUACAUGUUAAUAAAGUAAUCUCUUUAAAACAAGAACAGAUGGAAUAUAUAUAUAUAUAUAUAUAUAUAUAUAUAUAUAUAUAUAUAUAUACAGUAUAUAUAUAUAUUUAUUUAUUUUUAGACUAUACUUUAAUGUGUCUUAUAUUUAAUGAUCGAACCCCAGGCUGGUCCCAGAAUGCAUUGGGCUGCAGGCAGACCUCAGGCAGGUAGCUGGGUGGUUUAGCAAUAAUAGAUCCUUCAUAUGCUGCUAGUGCUAGUACUACUACUACACCUCCUACUAACGCGACUAAUACUACCAGUAGAACAAUAGUCAGUACUGCUGUUCCAAUGAGACAGCAAACCCUGAAUGGUAGUUGCUUCCCAACAUAGCUGCCCAUUGGUUUUUGAAUAGAAGGAGGAGGAGGAGGAGGAGGAGGAGGAGGAGGAGGAGUGAAGGAGAGGAGGGGUGAAAUGGAUCAGGGGAACAGGAGAAGAAGAGGGAAAGAGCAGCAGAGGAGAAGGAAGUGAAGAAGAGAAGGGAUGGAGGAAAAAGAGGAGGAGUAGGAGAGAAUACAUUUCAGCUCUGCUUCAAGGGGGAACAGAAGGUGAGCGAGGAGGAAGAGAAAAGAGAAAAGAGACGCAAACACUAAACCAAGAAACCAUGGAGUGUGUGUGUGUGUGUGUGUGUGUGUGUGUGUGUGUGUGUGUGUGUGUGUGUGUGUGUGUGUGUGUGUGUGUGUGUGUGUGUGUGUGUGUGUGUGUGUGUGUGUGUUUGUGUUGUGUGUGUGUGUGUUUGUUUGUGUGAUAAAAUUCUGUGCUUCUGUCUCCUUAUUGGCCACUGGGGAAGCUUGGUGCAUCAGAAUGAGAGAUGCCGAGAGGGAGGGAGAGACAGAGACAGAGACAGAGACAGAGAGAGAGAGAGAGAGAGAGAGAGAGAGAGAGACAGACACACACACACACACACACACACACACACACACACACACACACACACACACACACACACACACACACACACACACACCGACAAAGAGAGCGAGACAAAGAAAAAGAAAAGAGAGAGAGAGAAAGUGCGUUGUGGAGAGAGAGACUAUAUAAGCAGAACAAUGUAGUGAUGCUUUUAUGUUUGGGACUCUGCUGUCAAAAGUAUUUCCACAGGCUAUCUGUCCUGAUUCAGCUCUCUCCCUACCUCUCUCUCUCUCCCCCUUCUCUCUUCCUCUCUUUAGCUAAUGGAGGAAAGAGUAUGGGAGAUGGAUAGUUAAAACUGAGUAGAGUUCUGAAGCAGAGUAGAGGAGAGAGAGGAGGAGGAGGAGAGGAUGUGCAGAAGAUGAAGAGAGAGAGGGAGGAAGAGCAGAGGAGGAGGAGGAGGAGAGGAAGAGGGUGAGGAGGGAAGAUAAAGGGGGAGGAAGAGUAUGGAAAGCUAGACAGUGCAGAGAGGAGGGGCGGGAGGGUUGAAGAUGAGAAGAAUUUGCAGCUAAGAUUUACCAGAUAACUGACCUCAGUGCUAGCUAACCUCAGAGCUAACAGCUAGCCUCAGUGCUUACAGCUAGCCUCAGAGCCGACAGCUAUCCUCAGUGCUUACGGCUAGCCUCCUUGUUAUCAGCUAUCAUCGGUGCUUCCAGCUAACCUCAGCGCUAAACAACUAGACUCAGUGCUACCAGCGAACAUCAGCGCUAACAGUUAGCCCCAGUUUUUCCAGCCAACCUAGGCUCUAACUUGUAGCCUCAGUGCUACCAGCUAAUCUCAGUUACACAGUCAUUUGCACGAGGAUGUCAGACCCACACAACAGUGUCUGAAAGAGUCUCAGGGGCUUAGAGGGCUCAGCAGAGACAGAGCAAACGUUCUCCAGCUGUGUUUUUGCUCCGUGAUCCGGCCUCUGGGGACACUGGCUAGGCAUGGGCGUUAGCCUCUACAGCCGACAUGCUCGGAGAGAUUCACAAAGACUGAAGGGGCUUCUAGGGACAGAAACAGAGGGCGUGCGGGUUUGUCGCGACGCAGUGACACUGAGACCUGACAGACUGCGUCAGCUUUCAUGGAAUACAGAUACACUAGAUGGGUGGAUGGGUUUGAUAGGGUUGAUGCAUGGGUGGAUGGAUGGGUGGAUGCAUGGGUGGAUGGAUGGAUGAACCAAGAUGCAUAGAUAGAUGGAUGGAAGGGUGGUGGGUGUCCCGAUAUACCAGGUUAGGGGAGCUGAGGAGGAGGUCGGGAGGAGGUUUUUGGGAGAGCAGGGUCUGAGUGGGCUUUAUAAGCUCGUACCGUCUCAUUUGGUCUCCAGCCUGUUCCCAGCAGAGGGCUAGCUCUGGGCAGGUCGAUCUUUUACGGAUCACAGUCAGCUCACCAGAUGGCAACAUCUGUUGGACAUAGGAUUCUAAAUUGGGUCGGUAGUCAAGGUCACGGAAAUUCCCUUUGGCUACUUUCAUGCGUUAUAUUGUGCUUCUCGGACGUCAGAGCCAAGUGUGCGUGGGUUUUUCCAGGGGAUGUAUCUGACAGUGGGGGAAGGUAGUCUGGGUGUUAGAUGAUUAAGUUGACUUUGGGGGGGGAAUGAUGGCCAUCAAGCCGUGAUGUAAACUCUUAUUGCCACUAUUGACCCACAACUUAUUUUGGCUGAUAUCCUGGAAUGGAUUGGAACCGCUCCCCCUUUCUAUCGGUGUUGCUUGAAGCUCAACCGUCCAUCCCUCACUCUUCUCUCAACAUCUAUUCAAGCAUCACAUCUCUCUGUUGGAUCUUCUCUAAUAUUUGGUAUAAUAUUGUUGUUUAACACGUGUUCGCCUUAACAUACAUUUCGAUCAAACACACUUUGUUUGAUAUAACACAAUCUAUGGUGGAGUGUUCUCGGAGUCCUUCUAUAGAGGCCAUGUACAGACGGUAAAGACAUCAGGGCUGUCUUCAGGCUGUGGUCCUCAUUAAACCAGUCCCCAUUAGGGCUCAAAACGGUUUAUGUGUAGAAAAUAAACCCACCAUCUUAACUAUCGAGCACCGUUGAUUCCACCUACUGGUGUUAGAUAUAAUUGGGGAGGAGGAGGAGGAGGAGGAGGAGGAGGAGGAGGAUGAAGGUAUUAUGUGGAUAUGGAUAAUCGUUAGUUUGACUUGCUGUGUUUUCCAGUUCAGAGGCUAUAGGCUGACGCUGGAGGUUAAACGAUGCGCUAAAGUUACUUAUUGUGGUACAGCUAGCUUAAUCUGUCACAAACACAACCAACAGCUUCCUCUGGGAAAAAGCAAGACACCGACAUUAUUGUACAACAAAACUUGUUCUCUACGCAAGCUAGUUUUUAGAUCCAGUAACUGAAAUACCGAAAACUCACAUCGAUAAGUGCUCUUGAGAAUCUUUUUCUUCUUUUUUUUCACCUCGUCGCCAUUUUCCGCAGGUGUCUCCUGUGUGUUUUUGUCACUUGUUUCCUGGGGAAGUCUGGAGGAGGCGGGCCAGACGGUAAGUCCAGGCGGUGGUACUGUUGUCUCAGAAGUGGAAUACCUGCUGCUGCCCGGGGCUCUUUGAGGAGAAGUCCUCCUUCUGCUUGCGGGUCUUGUUGGGUCGCUCCAGGCUCCCCUGCUGGAGGUUCUUGAGGCGGGCAGCCACGGUGGGCUGGGGGCCCUUUGCUGGCCCCGGGGCCAUACUGGCAUUCUGGAAGCAGGAAGACAUGCAGCUAGUUAUUUCAAGUGUAAGACCCUGAACGCUAAGAUCACCAAGAUGAGGUGGUAGAUUGAAGAGUUUGUGUCUCAGAGAAUCGAA
ensembl:lncRNA